rnacentral:misc_RNA from 1 species
GAACCAGCUCGACCAUUUAAAAAGAGUGAAAGAUUUAAAGAAGAGACGUCGGGCCCAGGGGGAACAGGCACGAGCUGAACUCUUGAGCCUAACCCAGAUGGAGAGGGAGAAGAUUGUUUGGGAGUUUGAGCAGCUGUAUCACUCCUUAAAGGAGCAUGAGUAUCGCCUCCUGGCCCGCCUUGAGGAGCUAGACUUGGCCAUCUACAAUAGCAUCAAUGGUGCCAUCACCCAGUUCUCUUGCAACAUCUCCCACCUCAGCAGCCUGAUCGCUCAGCUAGAAGAGAAGCAGCAGCAGCCCACCAGGGAGCUCCUGCAG